AGAGAGAAUCGCGCUACACCGUGAUGCUAUGAUCAAUAUCGGUGUUGCGUCUCAGCCUCCUCUGGACCAUCAUCAAAUGCCAGACGGAUUUGAAAAUAGAGGAAAGGAAGGCGAGAUGAAAGCUGUAACGCAUACUUGUACAUCAAGAAAUGUUUUAGAUUUUCCGGAAGGUGAUUCAAUCGAAGACAUCGCCGAAUCCGUCGACGAAUUGCGUGAAAAAUUAGCGAAUAUGAAGAGAUUAAUGGAGGAACGUAAGGGAACAACUCUGGGGGAAAUCAGUGCACGUAAAAGGAAAGAAGCUUCGGAUAUAAUAGACGGAAAUUUUCUUUCUUGGAUUUUUGGUUCUGCAUUAGUUGUCAUAUUGAGCGUUAGCUUUUACGCUUUUUAUAAUCUUUAUCAUGCGGUACUCAAAAAAUUCCCUUCGCAUCAUACAGAGUUGUAAGAAAAGAAAAAGAAAAAAAGAUUUACAAAAUAUAGAAAAGAAAAAAAAAGGAGAAAGUAAGAAAAAACAGUAAAAAAACCCGUCGAAUGAUCCGUUCGAACGAAGACACGAUACAAAAGAGAAACCGAAAUGGCUAACAUAACUCACCCCCGGAAGAAACACCGUACUCUGGUGUAAUGCGUUUUGUCCGGUUUACGAUGUAAUCGUGACUAACAGACCGACGAGAUCUCUAAUUUCAAUUAUUUUUAUUAUCAGUAAGAAAGUUGAAACAAUAUUGAGGCGACACGUGAUAUUUUUGUCGAUGAAAUUUUCUAUUACAAAAAAAAAAAUGAAAACGUGCAUUUCACUUUGAUCAAAA
rnacentral:misc_RNA from 1 species